rnacentral:rRNA from 1 species
CCUAUGGGGGGCAGCAGUCGCGAAAACUUCACAAUGGAGGCAACUCCGAUGAGGGAAUUCCUAGUGCCAAUGCAUUUUGUGUUGGCUUUUCUUCAGCGUAGAUAACUGUUGGAAUAAGGGCUGGGUAAGACGGGUGCCAGCCGCCGCGGUAAUACCCGCAGCCCAAGUGGUGGUCGAUAUUAUUGAGUCUAAAACGUUCGUAGCCGGUUCAAUAAAUCUCUGGGUAAAUCGGAGGGCUUAACCUUCCGAAUUCCGGAGAGACUGUUGAACUUGGGACCGGGAGAGGCAAGAGGUACUUCUGGGGUAGGGGUAAAAUCCUGUAAUCCUAGAAGGACCACCGGUGGCGAAGGCGUCUUGCUAGAACGGAUCCGACGGUGAGGGACGAAGCCCUGGGUCGCAAACGGGAUUAGAUACCCCCGUAGUCC